GCUAGUGAAAUUGCUUUGUUUACUGUGAAAGGGGUGGAAUGUGACACCUCUCUGAAAAGGGGGAGGAUCUGAGCAAUGAUUAUGUUUACUGAGAAACAAGGCUGAAAGGGGCGAAAUUCCUCUUUAUGGGUGGUCCCACUGUGUACACUGUAGCUAGUGGUUGACUUAUGUUUUUUGUAAUAAGGUUUGCAUUUUGUGAAUGUGGUCUGUCUGUGUAAGACUGUGGAAUGUGGGGAUGAGUGGAGAAUUUCCUUGAAUCACGUUUACUGAACCAUGUUAAGUGGUAGUCAUUUGAAAGCUCUCAAUGAGACGAAUCUAACACUGAAUACCCAUAUCAUCACACCCUCACACAACACACACCCGCCCACACAUAGGCACUGGGCGUACUACUGUUCAAGCUGUGCUUCAUAUGGAUACUCCAUUUGGUGACAACCCUCUAGCCAUAGUCAGUGCUCAGUACAGCAUUCCUGUGAAGACUCUCCCUACACACAAGACCUGCACAACUUCAUAGGCUACCUGUUGACCUCUGACCCUGAGCUGUGUCCCAGUAUCUGGCAAGUGUGUGAGGUGGUGUCCAGGAUCACAGGAACCACCAACCAUGUCACUAAUGUCUGUCGUUCCCCUUGUCCGCCAAAUACUCUCCCUUCUCCAAAAAAAACUCGUUCUGUUGCUAAGAAACUAACCAACCAAUCAAAACCCUCCGUAACUGUCACCCCCCCAUUAACACUAUUGCUACAGCAGUUACCACGACAGCCAUUUCAUCUCAAGAUCGGAAAGGGUCGCGGGUCAAAUUCGCCAUGGCAACAACGAGUAUCGAACCUGAAGCCGUCCAAUCAGAAUGCAGGAUUCCAUUAGAGCGUAGACAGUGGACUGGAUGCUUUUGGUUAUGUCCCGUUCACUCCACAAAGAAUAGGAUCAGAGACCAACCUGACCACAGUGAUCGACUGGCAGUCCAUUUUCCUACGGAUAACUUUGGUAGUUGACGGAUGUUCCUCUACCCCGCCCACUCAUAAUACUGCUGACAAUGCAAGACGAGAUUUGUUUGGAGCACCCCCCUUUGGAGAGGGUUCAAAGGUUACGACAACACAAUGACAUCUGUAGAUCAAUUUGGUGAAUUUUAAUAUUUAUUUUUCCGUGUGUUUAGUAUUAUUAUAAGUGUUGUUUUGUGUGUAGAGUAGGAUCACAUGACUGGACUAUUGACUGUUUGCAUAUAAUUAGGAUUUUUAUGUUCAGGUAACAGUUUUGUG